UAGGGAAUAUUGCUUAAUGGGCGCAAGCCUGGAGCAGCAACGCCGCGUGUGCGAUGACGGCCUUCGGGUUGUAAAGCACUUUUCACCGGGAAGAGGAAGGACGGUACCGGUGGAAUAAGCCUCGGCUAACUACGUGCCAGCAGCCGCGGUAAUACGUAGGCAGCAAGCGUUGUUCGGAGUUACUGGGCGUAAAGAGUGCGUAGGCGGUUUUCUAAGUUCGGUGUGAAAUCUCCCGGCUUAACUGGGAGGGUGCGCCGAAGACUGGGAAGCUGGAGUGUGGGAAAGACAGGCGGAAUUCCUGGUGUAGCGGUGAAAUGCGUAGAUAUCAGGAGGAACACCGGCGGUGUAGACUGCUUGCUAGACCAUAACUGACGCUGAGGCACGAAAGCGUGGGUAGCAAACA
rnacentral:rRNA from 1 species